UUUCUCCAUUUUGAAUCUGUGCAAUUUGCUUAUAAUUUCGGCAAAGUAGCUACACAAGACAAGAGGGAAGAUCAAAUUCAUAUUUUUUUCGUAAAAUAAAAUAUGGCGCAAAUGAUAAAAUGCGUGUCAUAUGUAUAUAAAUUUUACUAACCAAAAUUGUUCAACAAAAUGACUCUUGUAGAAAGGAUAAAUCAACCUUAUGAGAAGAACCGAUUUCUCACAGUCAU
rnacentral:lncRNA from 1 species